rnacentral:rRNA from 1 species
UACGAGUGCCUCAAGCGUUAUCCGGAAUCAUUGGGCGUAAAGGAUGUGUAGGUGGCUGUGUUAGUCUCUCGUUAAAUUCUUCGGCUUAACCGGGGGUCUGCGGGGGAAACGGCACAACUAGAGGAUGCAAGGGGUCUGCGGAACUCAUAGUGUAGCGGUGAAAUGCGUUGAUAUUAUGGGGAACACCAAAAGCGAAGGCAGCAGACUAGGGCACUCCUGACACUGAAACAUGAAAGCGUGGGUAGCGAAUGGG